rnacentral:rRNA from 1 species
AGAUUGAACGCUGGCGGCAUGCUUUACACAUGCAAGUCGAACGGUAACAGGCCGCAAGGUGCUGACGAGUGGCGAACGGGUGAGUAAUGUAUCGGAACGUGCCCAGUCGUGGGGGAUAACGCAGCGAAAGCUGCGCUAAUACCGCAUACGAUCUAUGGAUGAAAGCGGGGGACCGUAAGGCCUCGCGCGAUUGGAGCGGCCGAUAUCAGAUUAGGUAGUUGGUGGGGUAAAGGCUCACCAAGCCAACGAUCUGUAGCUGGUCUGAGAGGACGACCAGCCACACUGGGACUGAGACACGGCCCAGACUCCUACGGGAGGCAGCAGUGGGGAAUUUUGGACAAUGGGCGCAAGCCUGAUCCAGCAAUGCCGCGUGCAGGAAGAAGGCCUUCGGUUGUAAACUGCUUUUGUACGGAACGUAAACGGUCCGUGGUUAAUACCUGGGCUAAUGACGGUACCGUAAGAAUAAGCACCGCUAACUACGUGCCAGCAGCCGCGGUAAC